rnacentral:rRNA from 1 species
CCGACGAUGUCCGAAUGGGGAAACCCAGUGCAAUUCGUUGCACUAUCGUUUGAUGAAUCCAUAGUCAAACGAGGCGAACCGAGGGAACUGAAACAUCUCAGUACCUCGAGGAAAAGAAAUCAACCGAGAUUCCCCUAGUAGCGGCGAGCGAACGGGGAGCAGCCCAGAGUCUUAAUCAGCAUCAGCAUCAGGAGAACGGUCUGGAAAGUCCGGCAGUAAAGGGUGAUAGCCCCGUAUCCGAAGGUGUUGGUGUUGUGAACUCGACGAGUAGGGCGGGACACGUGUUAUCCUGUCUGAAUAUGGGGGGACCAUCCUCCAAGGCUAAAUACUCCUGAUUGACCGAUAGUGAACCAGUACCGUGAGGGAAAGGCGAAAAGAACCCCGGCGAGGGGAGUGAAAUAGAACCUGAAACCGUGUACGUACAAGCAGUGGGAGC